rnacentral:rRNA from 1 species
CAAUAGGGAAUCUUCGGCAAUGGACGAAAGUCUGACCGAGCAACGCCGCGUGAGUGAAGAAGGUUUUCGGAUCGUAAAACUCUGUUGGUAGAGAAGAACGUUGGUGAGAGUGGAAAGCUCAUCAAGUGACGGUAACUACCCAGAAAGGGACGGCUAACUACGUACCAG